UACAUGGGUAUGGGUAUACAGGUAACUAGUCGAUAUAGGUCCGGUCAUAGCUCUACCAUCUUCAGAAUCGCUCCGGUCAACUCUACUUCGAUCCCAUUCCCUCAAAGGACGAACCCUAUGCGGAACUUCUUGGCUUUCGCUGAACCAAUUGCAAGAAAGCGAAGGGCAAUGACAACAACCUUCCUCGUGGCCUGACCAAGGAUCUUCGUGCCAAGUGAGUCUAUUCGCCUCCAUAAUCCACUAACUCCGGUUUGAUCAAAAGCACAUUUCCCAAGUGUAUUGUUAAUUUCUCUCAGGGUAACGUGCCUUUGAUCUCUCAGUCUAGGGUGCACCAGUUGCAUAUGUUUAUAGGUGAAGAGAAUUCUGAUACUUUAUUAGAGGCUCUCUUGAGAUAUUCUAUAUGAUAUCACCUCGAAUAAUGAGAUUCUUGCGGAGGACAAGCACAAGCCUAUUUAAGAUACUUUCGCUCAUUGUUUACUUUUCCGUUUUGCUGAUACUCAACGAUGUCAUUUUGUAUAGUUGAGAUUGAUUUGUAGAAUUUAUGAAGGUUUGUUGUUUAUCAUUGGAUCAUCGAGUUUUAUUUCGCUUCAAGCACUACGGUUUUAAUUCUUUUACACUGGUUUUUUUACUAUGUUCUUCACUUCUUCAGGAAAUGUAUUGAGUUUCAUAAACUUGCAAGUUUUGAUGUGCUUUUUUUGGUCUUCAUGGGUUUAUUUUUGGGACAAAACUUGGAUACAAUUAUAUAGUUUCUUAGGUGCUUUUUGGUAUUUAGAAUUGGAGUUUUAACUUGGUAAUAUGCAUAAUAAAGGUCUGCAUUAAAGAUUUACGCUCAUUAUUGAGGUGAAACUCCAACUCUAAUUAAAGAAUUGCACCAAAAAGUACAUAUGUAAUUGUAUCUAACUUUUCUCCUUAUUUUUAUUCUCACUUAAUUGCUUUUAUGCUCUACACCAGCCCUACUAACUAUACAUUAAUUGUUGAAGAAAUUCUUAGGUUCUAGGUAUUUCUUUCACUAGAUACCUAGUGUCAGCAUGUAUAUUUUUGGAUGCUUGUAAAGUAACAACUCAUUGCAAUAAUGAAAGGGAUAUUCGGUCUCCUAUUUUGAUAAGAUUUUAGAUCUUUCUUAUUCGUUCUUUAAUUAUGUGAUCAGCACAAUUGUUUCAGGUAUCAAGAAUUGGCUAAAAAUUAUAAUGUGGAGAACAUUGUUGGAGGUAUUGCAUUAGAUCCGGAGUAUUGGAUUUUAUAUAAUUGCUUUAAUAUUUAAAUAUCAUAAGCAAACUUUAUAAAAUGAACAGUGGAAGUGCAUAUUUCAUAAUGACAGCUUCUACAAUUUUUUUUUUGUUUGUGUGCUGGAAGGUGCCACUCAUAAUUCAAUCAAGGUUGCUCAAUGGAUGCUCCAAGUUCCUGGUGCAACAAGUUACAUGGGUGGCAUAGGAAAGGAUAAGUUUGGGGAAGAGAUGAAGAAGAACUCAAAGCUUGCUGGUGUAAAUUUCACUAUUAUGAAGAUGAAACUACACCUACUGGAACUUGUGUUGUAUAGUUGGUGGUGAAAGGUGGGAACAAAAUCUCGAUGCAUCUUAUUUACCACAAAUGGUUUUUGGGGAAAGCACUUUAAUUCUAAAACACUCGAGCAGUUGCACCAACAUUCAUUUUAAUGCAUUUGAUGCUCUACGUGGCUGGAAAUAGGAAGCAUUGCCGCUAGUUGAAGUUCCUGCAGCAGCAACUAAAUGGAAAUUUAGAAGGUGAUAACUAUUGGCAUGUGCACUUUCAUGUUUACGUAUAACUCAAAAUCCUGUUAGUUUUGCUUAGAUUCAUUUGCUGUCUUUUCUUUCUAGGAAGAAAUUUUUACUUGGUGGUUAGUGAAAUCCCAUAAUGCAUCUGAAUGUAGAUAAGAUAACUAGCAUUUAGAUUUGAGGGGGCAAUUUAAUUAAAAUAAUAAUAAUUAUUAUUAUUAUUUGAGACUCUGUAUCAUGUAAAUACAAAUUAUUUUGUUUGAUUCCAAGCAUAUUAGUGCUCUCCUGAUUAA